rnacentral:rRNA from 1 species
CCUACGGGAGGCAGCAGUGGGGAAUAUUGCACAAUGGGGGAAACCCUGAUGCAGCGACGCCGCGUGAGCGAAGAAGUAUUUCGGUAUGUAAAGCUCUAUCAGCAGGGAAGAAAAUGACGGUACCUGACUAAGAAGCACCGGCUAAAUACGUGCCAGCAGCCGCGGUAAAACGUAGGUCACAAGCGUUGUCCGGAAUUACUGGGUGUAAAGGGAGCGCAGGCGGGAAGACAAGUUGGAAGUGAAAUCCAUGGGCUCAACCCAUGAACUGCUUUCAAAACUGUUUUUCUUGAGUAGUGCAGAGGUAAGUGGAAUUCCUAGUGUAGCGGUGAAAUGCGUAGAUAUUAGGAGGAACACCAGUGGCGAAGGCGGCUUACUGGACAGUAACUGACGUUGAGGCUCGAAAGCGUGGGGAGCAAACAGGAUU